UACGGGGGGGGCAAGCGUUGGUCGGAAUUACUGGGCGUAAAGGGCUCGUAGGCGGCCAACUAAGUCAGACGUGAAAUCCCCAGGCUUAACCUGGGAACUGCGUCUGAUACUGGAUGGCUUGAAUUCGGGAGAGGGAUGCAGAAUUCCAGGUGUAGCGGUGAAAUGCGUAGAUAUCUGGAGGAAUACCGGUGGCGAAGGCGGCAUCCUGGACCGAGAUUGACGCUGAUGAGCGAAAGCUAGGGGAGCAAACGGG
rnacentral:rRNA from 1 species